rnacentral:rRNA from 1 species
AGCGAACGCUGGCGGCAGGCCUAACACAUGCAAGUCGAACGAAGUCUUCGGACUUAGUGGCGGACGGGUGAGUAACACGUGGGAACGUGCCUUUAGGUUCGGAAUAACUCAGGGAAACUUGUGCUAAUACCGAAUGUGCCCUUCGGGGGAAAGAUUUAUCGCCUUUAGAGCGGCCCGCGUCUGAUUAGCUAGUUGGUGAGGUAAAGGCUCACCAAGGCGACGAUCAGUAGCUGGUCUGAGAGGAUGAUCAGCCACAUUGGGAGUGAGACACGGCCCAAACUCCUACGGGAGGCAGCAGUGGGGGAUCUUGCGCAAUGGGCGAAAGCCUGACGCAGCCAUGCCGCGUGCAGGAUGAAUGCCUUCGGGUUGUAAACUGCUUUUAUAUGUGACGAUUAUGACGGUAGCAUAUGAAUAAGGAUCGGCUAAUUCCGUGCCAGCCGCCGCGGUAA